rnacentral:rRNA from 1 species
CCUACGGGAGGCAGCAGUGGGGGAUAUUGCACCAUGGGGGUAACCCUGAUGCAGCGACGCCGCGUGGGUGCAGAAGCGCCUCGGCGCGUAAAGCCCUGUCGGCAGGGAAGAAAAUGACGGUACCUGCAGAAGAAGCCCCGGCUAACUACGUGCCAGACGCCGCGGUACUACGUAGGGGGCAAGCGUUAUCCGGAUUUACUGGGUGUAAAGGGGGGGCAGACGGCGAUGCAAGCACGGAGUGACAGCCCGGGGCCCAACCCCGGGACUGCUGUUGGAACUGGGUGGCUGGAGUGCAGGGGGGGCAGGCGGAAUUCCUGGUGUAGCGGUGAAAUGCGUAGAUAUCAGGAGGAACACCGGUGGCGAAGGCGGCCUGCUGGACUGCAACUGACGUUGAGGCCCGAAGGCGUGGGGAGCAAACAGGAUUAGAUACCCCAGUAGUC